UUUGGGCAGAGCUGAGGGAGGGGACAGGAAAGAACCAGGUUCUUCAUAGUUCAAGAUGUGGACAGUUCCAGUUUCUUCUCCAUUCUCCAAAGAGCCUGAUAUUGUGAUUUCUGCCUGAGAUUGCUUCAUGCUUGGACAAAAUGGACUUCAGUAAUAAUGCUGAUAUUAUUUUUGUUAUAUAAGUUCUUAUAGUAUACAGUGCUUCUGCCUAAAAUAGCUCUUUCUGUAAGCAUGGGAGGGCAGGAACUCACCUUCAUCCUCAGGAUCCUAUGGGGCUAAUUCCUCUGUGCAGAGGUAGAUUUUCUGUGAAGCGAAAGAAGUUUACAUCUUCAGGGACUCUCACUUGCUUGGGCAUAUGCUUUUCUAAUAUUUGAAAGAGCAAAACAUUUUAGCCACGAUUAAGACUGCAGUUUAGGCUGAGUGUGGUGGCUCACAAUUGUUAUCCCAGCUACUUGGGAGGCUUAGGCAGGAGUAUAAUUGCUUCAGCCCAGGAGUUCAAGGUUACAGUGAGCUAUGAUCACACCACUGUACUCCAGCCUGGUGACAGUGAGACCUUCUAAAAAAAAAAAGACUGCAAUCUCUUUUCAUAUGAAUUAUUUUCCAUGCCUUUUCAUGUUGGAUAGUCCCAGACUAGCUGUGGACAUUUUUGAGAUUUGGCUAAUGGGAAAUUAAAUUGGGAGUCCCUCUAUUUGGGUUUAGGGAGAUGGAUUUAUGUGGUUUGCAGUCAUUUUCAGGUAUAGUAAUUAUUAUUGCUACCUGUCCAUGUGCAGGAAUACUUUCAGAAACCCUCUUCCCACUCAUCUGCAAUCACAGAAUGAAGACACAGUGGUUGUAAUACUAUAUGAGCAUGCUGUGCUGUGCCAGAAGUAUGUGGGCAGUAGAAGAGAAAGAAGACUUGAACAUUUUUCAAAUCAUCAUAACAAAAAAAUUGCCAGUCUAAUGAACAGGUAGCUGUCAGCACUACAAAGGAGGGAAGACUCCCGCACUCGCUACCACAUUUCUUCUCCACCUCCUGUGGUGGCCUCAAAUACUAGAACUAGAGGCACAUUCCUUUGGGCUUGAAAGUAUUGGUGAGCCUAAGAGACAGCAGAACAGUGGAAGCCUUCCUGAGUGCAAGGCCUGACACUUGUUGCGGAGCCAUGACUGGGGAUGCAUUUGACCCCAC
rnacentral:lncRNA from 10 species